rnacentral:misc_RNA from 1 species
AAUUUCUUUUGAUAUAUUUAUUUAAUUAAUUUGUUUUACAAAUAACAGGCAGAAUCUACUUUUUUUUUUCUUUCAAUGCAAUAAUGCUCAAGUUCUUAAUGACCUGCACAAUAUUGUACUGGGCUAGCCACAACAAACAGAGGAGUUUUCUUGUGCAUUGUAAUGCCAAAUGCUUCCUCCAUAUCUAAAUCUUCCCUUGUAACACCCUGAGGUAGUUCCCAAUUGUAGCGAUGCAAGAGAUUAGCAAGUGCAAGCUCAAUUAAAACAAUACUGAAAUUCAUUCCAGGACACCCUCUACGCCCAAACCCAAAUGGUAUUAAUUCGUAGUGUUGUCCACUGAAAUCAAUUGAGCUAUGCAGGAAUCUCUCGGGUCGAAACUCCUCUGGAUUUUUCCAUGAUUUAGGGUCCAUGGAUAUUGAUGAUGCACUAAUAUAUACCCUAGUUCUUGCUGGGAUUUCAUAAUCUCCAAUUUUGCAAUCCUCUAUAGUUUCUCUUGGAACUAAUAAUGGUGCUGGUGGAUAGACUCUCAAUGACUCUUUCACUACGGACUUCAGGUACACAAGUUGAGGAAGAUUGCUUUCUUGCACCAUCUCUUUUCCCUUACUAACUCUUCUUAACUCUUCUUGGACUCUUCUCAUUGCAUAUGGAUUCCUUAUCAAUUCGGUCAUCGUCCAAACUAAUGUGGCUGAGGAAGUAUCCGUCCCCGCUAUGAACAUGUCCUAAUAACCAAGAUCAAAUGAUUGAGAAAAUCUAUGUAAAAUAAAAGAAAUUAAAGAAUUAAGAAACACGCAUGCAACUCGGAAAGUUGUGGAAAAUUUACCAUCAGGGCACUCUUGAUAGAAUCGUCGCUGAGUUCAACUUCUCGAUUUGGAUCCUUCUGAAGUCGAAGCAAUACAUCAACAAGAUCCUCAUGCUCAGGUUUAGGCCUCCUCGGAUCGAGAUGUUCCUGUAAUAGUUUAUCAUAGAGCUUGUCAAAUUCCUUGAAAUUCUUCUCCACCCUUGCUUCUAGGCCAUUGAACUUGCAGAGCCACCCCAUCCAUGGAAAGAAGUCUGCAAUGCAAAAUCCUCCAAGUAACUGUUGUGCUUCACGAAGCAAGUCAUUAAGUCCACCACUUUCGCCAAUAAAUCUACCGUCGCAUUUUCUACCCAAAGCUACACGACAUAUAACAUUAUUUGACAGGACAACUGACAAGUCGCUUAGAUUAAUCGGAACCGAAGAGCAAGCUACAGAAUCAAGCAUCAGGCUCACUUCUUCUUCCCGUACUGCCUGGAAGGAUUGGACUCUCUUUGCACUCAGCAAUUCUACAAUUACAAUUUUUCUCAUCUCCCUCCAUUUCUCACCGUAGGGGGCUGAGGACAAGCCAGAACAGUUAUAACUAAAUUUCUUGGCAGAGUAUAAUAUUGGCCUGCCUGAAAACACAAGGUCAUGUUUUUUGAAGAUUUCUCUCACCAUAUCAGCUGAGGAAAUUAUUAUAGUGGGUAUUGAUCCAAGUUGCAAGAACAUAAUAGGGCCAUAUUCUUUUGCUAGGUGCUGCAGUGAUCUAUGGAUUGGAUUCAUUAGCUGGUGCAAGUUUCCUACAAGAGGGAGCCUCCUUGGACCUGGAGGAAGCCUCUUUGCUUGUAGUGACUGCUUUCCAUAUUUGAUAGACAGGAGAAGCAAGAAAGAUGGAAGGAAAACAAUUAAGAUCAGCAUCAGGAGUGGAUGAGAACUCAUAGUGUGAUCGCUCUGGGACGGCGAAGGAGAUGCACCCAUAUAUAUAUAUAUAUAGCACAAUAGAAUCCAAAAUUUAUAUAAAAUAAAAAUAAAUAUAGCUGGGAAAAAUGAAAUAUUAAAGAAAAAGUUAAAAAACAGGGAGAAGAAAAAUAGUCAGGCAUGAAGAAGCAAAUUUUUAUUCUUACACAAUAUUACAAGCAUGAUUCACAAUUGCUUCCUGUUUAAGAUCCAAAAACACAAAUUUUUUAAAGCAGGGAUAAAUUCUGUAAAAUGGCAUUCUACAUUUAUGUUUUAUUUCAAAGUUUUUG